ensembl:lncRNA
AGCUCCUUGGAGGUGGGGUGCUAGAAGGAACGGCACCCCUGCCCAGAACCUUCUCUUAGCUUUCGCAGGCUGGAUCCAGCUUCAGGGCAGAGCACAGCUGUGGAGGCGUCACCAGUCUGCCCUGGUGUCAAAGGGCUCCACGUCACCAAGCAGAGCCAAGGAACUUCCGAGCAGCACAGGCAGGUGAGGAGGCAGCAGGAGGAACUCAGGAUAGACCUCAGAGUGAACUUCCAGGCAAGGGUCCCUGGAACCAGAGUCUGAGACCUGGGGUGUCGGCAGCAGAAUCUACAGCGACCUCCCCACCUACUGUCUCUUCUCAGAUGAGGCUGAGCAGCAAAAGCCACACGAGCUGCACACCAGACCGUGGCACUCCCAAGUAGCAGAGUCAGGAUUUGAACCCAGGGCACUGACGGGGCACUGACAGAGCCCAUCCCACCAGGUUGCUGAGGCAGGCCCGGGGCACCCACCGUGUGCAGGGGUCUGCGAAAGGAGGGAGCUCGGCAGGGAAAGAGGAAGGCGGCCUGCGGGCUGGCUUCUGCGCUGUCCUCGUGGGCCUGGAGCAGCAGAAUGCAG